CGUAACGCGUAUGCAACCUACCUUUAACUGGAGGAUAGCCCCGAGAAAUCGGGAUUAAUACUUCAUAACAUUAUGAUAUGGCAUCAUAUUAUAAUUAAAGCUCCGGCGGUUUUAGAUGGGCAUGCGUGACAUUAGUUUGUUGGUGAGGUAACGGCUCACCAAGACUACGAUGUCUAGGGGUUCUGAGAGGAUUUUCCCCCACACUGGUACUGAGACACGGACCAGACUCC
rnacentral:rRNA from 1 species